ACAUGUUGAUCCUGAUACAAAAUAUUGAUAGUAGGAACUAGUAACUUUUGAAAUCCAACAAAUUGCUCCAAUGGAUAGUCCUUAGAAGGUGAAAUCUAGUUACGAAACAAAUUUAUCCUUUUCCACAGGAACAAUGUUUUGAAAUGCUAAACACAAAGUUAAACAUUAUAUAAUUUCAAAACUACUGUGAACCAUAACGAAACCCACCACGAACCCUUUGAACCACCCAAAUCGCAAUCACAAAUCGACGCUCGUCACGAAACCCACCACAAACACCCUCGUUGGAAAACCCACUGCAAAUAUUGCUUCGGCUCGAAACCAUCACAAAAACUAGACCUGGUUGAAAAGCUUGGAUCUGGAACCUAUCACAAAAACGAGAUCUCCUUCAUUGUCUGAACUCUCAAGCUGUCAUUGCUCUUUGCUACAACCAUGGGCUCCUUUGACCAAACCUUCACCACCAGAGGGAGGGGUUCAUAGGGAGUGAGGAGACGAAUUUGGAGCUGAACUGUCCAUGCUCAAGAGAGUGAGAG
rnacentral:lncRNA from 1 species